UACGAAGGGGGCUAGCGUUGCUCGGAAUCACUGGGCGUAAAGCGCACGUAGGCGGAUUGCUAAGUCAGGGGUGAAAUCCUGGAGCUCAACUCCAGAACUGCCUUUGAUACUGGCGAUCUUGAGUCCGGGAGAGGUGAGUGGAACUGCGAGUGUAGAGGUGAAAUUCGUAGAUAUCGUAAGGAAGACCAGUGGCGAAGGCGGGUCUCUGGACAGUUCCUGACGCUGAGGCACGAAGGUCAGGGGAGCAAACGGG
rnacentral:rRNA from 1 species